ensembl:lncRNA novel transcript
AGGAAGUCAUUAAAGAAGCAACCCAUGGCAAAACUAGUUAUUUUCUUAAAACAGUAGGAAGAAGAAAAGCUUUUUGAAUGAAUCACUUCUCAUCUUCUCCGAAGUUGGAAGCAUCAAGAAUCUAAAUAAGCAUUUAUGAUGGCUGGCAUGAAUAUUUCUCUCCUUCAUCGUGCCUAUUUUAUGAACUUGAACAAGGAAGUUGCCACAACAUCUGUGGGCCAGAGAACUAUGCCAGAAUGUUAUUUCCAGAUUGCUUCCUGUAUUUACAAAGGUAUAAAUCUUUGAUUUCUAUAUAUUCUUCUCACACCCUUCUCUGCGAACACACCUAUCUUCCCCAUUUUUUAACUGGCUAAGUUCUAUCUGCCUAUCAUGAAAAGCAAAGCCACCUAUAACAAAUUCCUUAGAUUUAAGUAACUCUUUUUUAAAUUCCGGUGUAUUUUUUGUGCCUUCUAUUGGUUAGAUUUUGUUAAAAUAAUGCUGCAUAACAAACCUUUCCAAUAAUAAUUUGAUACAAUAAUUUAUUACUGUUUAUGUACCUCCAGGUUGCCAGGGCGUCCACUGGUCUAAAUAGCACUCAUCUUCCUACUGCAGGUCUAUAGGUCCACUGAUACGGCUUUGCUACUCUACCCC